rnacentral:rRNA from 1 species
AGUGAACGCUGGCGGUAGGCCUAACACAUGCAAGUCGAACGGCAGCACAGGAGAGCUUGCUCUCUGGGUGGCGAGUGGCGGACGGGUGAGGAAUACAUCGGAAUCUACUUUUUCGUGGGGGAUAACGUAGGGAAACUUACGCUAAUACCGCAUACGACCUACGGGUGAAAGCAGGGGAUCUUCGGACCUUGCGCGAUUGAAUGAGCCGAUGUCGGAUUAGCUAGUUGGCGGGGUAAAGGCCCACCAAGGCGACGAGCCGUAGCUGGUCUGAGAGGAUGAUCAGCCACACUGGAACUGAGCCACGGUCCAGACUCCUACGGGAGGCAGCAGUGGGGAAUAUUGGACAAUGGGCGCAAGCCUGAUCCGGCCAUACCGCGUGGGUGAAGAAGGCCUUCGGGUUGUAAAGCCCUUUUGUUGGGAAAGAAAUCCAGCUGGUUAAUACCCGGUUGGGAUGACGGUACCCAAAGAAUAAGCACCGGCUAACUUCGUGCCAGCCGCCGCGGUAA